GAGACUCUCACCGAUUACAGCACUGACCUAACAUCCUGGUACGGGGACUUGGGCACUGACAGAGACUCCCACCGAUUACAGCACUGACCUGACAUACUGGUACAGGGACUUGGGAGGUGACAGAGACUCUCACCGAUUACAGCACUGACCUAACAUCCUGGUACGGGGACUUGGGAGGUGAGAGAGACUCUCACCGAUUACCGUGCUGACCUGACAUCCUGGUACAGGGACUUGGGCGGUGACAGUGACUCCCACCGAUUACCGCGCUGACCUGACAUUCUGGUACAGGGACUUGGGCGGUGACAGUGACUCCCACUGAUUACCGCGCUCACCUGACAUCCUGGUACAGGGACUUGGGAGGUGACAGUGACUCCCACCGAUUACCGUGCUGACCUGACAUCCUGGUACAGGGACUUGGGCGGUGACAGUGACUCCCACCGAUUACAGCACUGACCUGACAUCCUGGUACAGGGACUUGGGCGGUGACAGUGACUCCCACCGAUUACCGCGCUGACCUGACAUCCUGGUACAGGGACUUGGGCGGUGACAGUGACUCCGACCGAUUACAGCACUGACCUGACAUCCUGGUACAGGGACUUGCCCGGUGACAGUGACUCCCACUGAUUACCGCGCUGACCUGACAUCCUGGUACAAGGACUUGGGAGGUGACAGAGACUCCCACCGAUUACAGCACUGACCUGACAUCCUGGUACAGGGACUUGGGAGGUGACAGAGACUCCCACCGAUUACAGCACUGACCUGACAUCCUGGUACAGGGACUUGGGCGGUGACAGAGACUCCCAUCGAUUACAGCACUGACCUGACAUCCUGGUACAGGGACUUGGGCGGUGACAGAGACUCCCACCGAUUACAGCACUGACCUGACAUCCUGGUACAGGGACUUGGGAGGUGACAGAGACUCCCACCGAUUACAGCACUGACCUGACAUCCUGGUACAGGGACUUGGGAGGUGACAGGGACUCCCACCGAUUACAGCACUGACCUGACAUCCUGGUACAGGGACUUUGGCGGUGACAGAGACUCCCAUCGAUUACAGCACUGACCUGACAUCCUGGUACAGGGACUUGGGCGGUGACAGAGACUCCCACCGAUUACAGUACUGACCUGACAUCCUGGUACAGGGAAUUGGGAGGUGACAGAGACUCUCACCGAUUACAGCACUGACCUGACAUCUUGGUACAGGGACUUGGGAGGUGACAGAGACUCCCACCGAUUACAGCACUGACCUGACAUCCUGGUAAUGGGACUUGGGAGGUGACAGUGACUCCGACCGAUUACCGCGCUGACCUGACAUCCUGGUACAGGGACUUGGGCGGUGACAGUGACUCCGACCGAUUACAGCACUGACCUGACAUCCUGG